CCCUUAGACGUUCUGGGCCGCACGCGCGCUACACUGACGAAGGCAACGAGCUUUCCUUUACCGAAAGGUACGGGUAAUCUUUUGAAACUUCGUCGUGCUGGGGAUAGAUCCUUGCAAUUUUUGAUCUUAAACGAGGAAUUCCUAGUAAACGCAGAUCAUCAAUCUGCAUUGAUUACGUCCCUGCCCUUUGUACACACCGCCCGUCGCACCUACCGAUUGGAUGGUCCGGUGAAGCCUCGGGAUUGUGGUUCUUGCCGCUUUAUUGUGGCGUGACCGCGAGAACUUGUCUAAACCUUAUCAUCUAGAGGAAGGUGAAGUCGUAACA
rnacentral:rRNA from 1 species